rnacentral:rRNA from 1 species
GACGAACGCUGGCGGCGUGCUUAACACAUGCAAGUCGAACGGAAAGGCCUCUUUCGGGGGGUACUCGAGUGGCGAACGGGUGAGUAACACGUGAGUAACCUGCCCUUGACUUUGGGAUAACUUCAGGAAACUGGGGCUAAUACCGGAUAGGAGCUCCUGCUGCAUGGUGGGGGUUGGAAAGUUUCGGCGGUUGGGGAUGGACUCGCGGCUUAUCAGCUUGUUGGUGGGGUAGUGGCUUACCAAGGCUUUGCCGGGUAGCCGGCCUGAGAGGGUGACCGGCCACAUUGGGACUGAGAUACGGCCCAGACUCCUACGGGAGGCAGCAGUGGGGAAUAUUGCACAAUGGGUGGAAGCCUGAUGCAGCAACGCCGUGUGCGGGAGGACGGCCUUCGGGUUGUAAACCGCUUUCGCUCAUGACGAAGCUUUGUGUGACGGUAGUGGGUAAAGAAGCACCGGCUAACUACGUG